ACGGAGGGUGCAAGCGUUAAUCGGAAUAACUGGGCGUAAAGCGCACGCAGGCGGCUCGACAAGUCAGAUGUGAAAGCCCCGGGCUCAACCUGGGAACUGCAUUUGAAACUGUCUGACUUGAGUAAUGUAGAGGGGGGUAGAAUUCCAGGUGUAGCGGUGAAAUGCGUAGAGAUCUGGAGGAAUACCGGUGGCGAAGGCGGCCUCCUGGACAAAGACUGACGCUCAGGUGCGAAAGCGUGGGGAGCAAACAG
rnacentral:rRNA from 1 species